rnacentral:rRNA from 1 species
GCUUGCUUCUCUUGAGAGCGGCGGACGGGUGAGUAAUGCCUAGGAAUCUGCCUGGUAGUGGGGGAUAACGUUCGGAAACGGACGCUAAUACCGCAUACGUCCUACGGGAGAAAGCAGGGGACCUUCGGGCCUUGCGCUAUCAGAUGAGCCUAGGUCGGAUUAGCUAGUUGGUGAGGUAAUGGCUCACCAAGGCGACGAUCCGUAACUGGUCUGAGAGGAUGAUCAGUCACACUGGAACUGAGACACGGUCCAGACUCCUACGGGAGGCAGCAGUGGGGAAUAUUGGACAAUGGGCGAAAGCCUGAUCCAGCCAUGCCGCGUGUGUGAAGAAGGUCUUCGGAUUGUAAAGCACUUUAAGUUGGGAGGAAGGGCAGUUACCUAAUACGUGAUUGUUUUGACGUUACCGACAGAAUAAGCACCGGCUAACUCUGUGCCAGCAGCCGCGGUAAUACAGAGGGUGCAAGCGUUAAUCGGAAUUACUGGGCGUAAAGCGCGCGUAGGUGGUUUGUUAAGUUGGAUGUGAAAUCCCCGGGCUCAACCUGGGAACUGCA